rnacentral:lncRNA from 10 species
UUAAUAACCUGCUGUCUGUCCAUCUGCCCAGAGCCCAGGGUCCUGUGUUCUGCCCUUCCCAGGACUCCAGGGCGGGACCCAUUCUCAUCCAUGGGAAAAAGAGGUGGGGAUUAAAUACCCUUUCCAAGAAUGGACUCCAAAGUCUAUUUCUCAUGCAUCUCCUGCUGUGCCUAUCUAUUCAGGGUAGUGUCUUCUCAAAUCCACACAGGGCAGCUUCUCCGUGUUGCUCUCUAACAUACCGAGGAUGGAGCCCAGCUCAGCAGCUGACGCGACACAGACCCUCCAUCAACAGUGCAUGGGAAAGUUGACCAAUGACCUCCUGAGAAGUCAAAGCAGCCCUACACAGGCUGCUCUGAGCAUAACGCCCAGCCCGGCUCCACAGCCACACGGGCUCCUGGGUAGACAGGUGACCUGGUGUCAGAGUCACCAGUGAGGGACAAAUCCAUCAAUGUCACCUGAAUGUUCAACCAAGCGAGGAGCUGUGUUCCCUGCUGGAUCGAAACCUGUGGUUAUGAGCCCAGCAUCUGUGUUCACGAAGGCUGCUGCGCAGCCGCUCUUGCCUCUGGGUUUGGUAUCGGGGUGAUGCUGGCUGGAUUGCAUAAGUGGGGGAAUGGUCCUUCUCCUUGAGUUUGUGAAGGAAUUCAUGGGGCAUGGGCAUCAUUUCAUUCCUAUCUUGGCAGGAGUCACAGCAGAGCCCUCCGGGCUGAGUUUCUUUGUGGAAACCCUUCCCCAUCCCGGACGCUUCCCAGCUGGGCCUCGGGCCACCACGGCUGUGGCUCUGGCCUCCCCAGUGUCCUCCUGAAACUCCUUCUGAGUGGUGUCUGGACGUCGACGGUGCCUCAUCUGUCCGGACAUCACGGCCCUGCGUGUCCUGUCCCAAAUCUCCCCAGCCCGCAGCCCUGCUCCCCGGCACUGGAAGGCAGUUCAGGGCUGUCUUGCUGUUUCCUGGAGGUGGCUGUGAAAGGUCUGAAAGACAUAAACACGAUGACGUGCUGGGCUCAGCAGAAGGCUGCCGCCCUCCUGUGUCCAGGACCACAGGACUCCGAAGGCCCCGUGUGUCCUCCUGGGGCCUUAGGGAACUUGGCAGGGCUGCCCACUGGCUCUGUCGGCACGAGGCCUUCAGAAUUACAAACUUUGGAAGAAUUUCUCAAGCUAUCAGAACAACCGAGGUCCCUGUGCACGGCUCUGUGGACGAAAACGUCGUUUUCCCCUGGAAACCAGCGUUUGAUUCACCGACUCGCACAGUAGGCAGCCUGGAGACGGCCGUCUUCUUAGCUGGGACACCAGGCACUCCAGGGCUUUUGUUUUCCCUCCUAUGGUGUCAUCAUAGACACGACCUCACACUAUCUGCUUAUCACAGUGUAAAGCUCUUCGGAAGAACAACCUUCACAUCAGCAUUUGUUAUGAGUGACAGGGGAGGGAGCAAAACCUCCUCCUCCAACCCAUGUUUUCGCAUCAUUUUUCAUCUGCGGAGAAACCCAAGCCAUCCCCACCCCCAGGAAUGUAAGGACAGAAACUGAAGUCCUCAUCAUUCUGCCUCUGGUCUUCCUGUUAAUAAAAAAUAAGUCUGUGUUAAUUAGAUUUGGAAGAUGAGUUUUCCAUCCAGGCACUUUUCCCUGAAUUAUCCUCGUCCGCACGAGCGACUCUUUCCAGGGCUGGAGCUCACGGCUGGGCUGUGGCCUGUGCCGUCCCGUGGAGGUUAGAAGGUGGGCGCAGAUGUGCUCAGCUUCCUGAGAGACGUCUCAUUAUAACGCCGCCCCAGGCAGUAAUUUGAUCUUUUUUUCUUUUAAAAGAUGAAAUUCCGCUUUUAUCCCUUUGGUUAUAGUCCAUAGCUCCUCUGCUUGUUAAACCUUAAGGAAAAGACUAAAAUCUUUUGCCACUAUUUUGUCGGUAUGUAUUUCAAAAAGAAAAAUAACAAUAUACCUAUUGCAUUAAAAAUGUUUUGAUCUGAUUAUAGCUACAAGGUAAUAGAUAUUAAAGAAUCUAGUGCUCUCCCAUAUGACAAUUAUAAAUGGUACAUUUUCCUUAUUCCAGGAAAUGUUACAAAAAUUUGGGAACACUAAAUUAAUAUAAUUUGCCCAAAGGUGCUUAUGUCUGUCUAGAGGAUGGCAUAAGUUCAUUGUAGUAUAGAUAAUGCAUAUCAUACAAAUCGUGUUCAGAAACCCCUGCUAAAACCAGUCUCCUUGUUUUAUGAUCACAUUAUAUGAAGGAGUAAAUGCUGUAUCAGAUAUUCCAGGAAUAAAACUUGCUUAUCAAAAUCACCCUACACAACACCUCAGUGUCCAAGGGAACAUAAAAGGUAAUGUCAAGGGUUCCCGCAUAUCAACAUAAAUGUGAUUUUCAGAUAAGCAAUUACAGCAUAGUCCACAGUAAUAUCCGACAUUUUUAUUGCUCGAAUAUUUUUGUAAUAAGGAAAAAUAGUUCAGUACAAAUUUAUGAUAUUUU